rnacentral:lncRNA from 1 species
GUUUUCGUGAGCUUGGGUAAGAGGAGUUUACCUACUGUGGGUGUAAGAGCUCACUUUUUGCCAUGAUUGUGACCACAUCACGUGCAAAAAAGUUGAUCAAUAGUGGUUGUGUGGCUUAUUUAGCGACGGUGGUAGAGAGUUGUAAGGAGAUUUCAGUGCUCGGGGACAUUCCUGUGGUCCGAAAGUUUUCGAAUGUAUUUCCUACAGAGUUGUCGGGAAUACUGCCGGACUGGGAGAUCG